AGGGUUUGACAUGCACGGAUUAGCCGUUGGAAACUUCGGUAACGCCCUUUGGGUGGAACGUGCACAGGUGCUGCAUGGCUGUCGUCAGCUCGUGCUGUGAAGUGUCGGGUUAAGUCCCUUAACGAGCGCAACCCCUGUCGCUAGUUGCCAGCGCGUCAUGGCGGGGACUCUAGCGAGACUGCCGGUGUCAAACCGGAGGAAGGUGGGGAUGACGUCAAGUCCUCAUGGCCCUUAUGUCCUGGGAUGCAAACGUGCUACAAUGGCGCGUACAAUGCGAUGCGAGGCCGCAAGGCGGAGCAAAUCGCAAAAAGCGCGCCCCAGUUCGGAUUGCAGGCUGCAACUCGCCUGCAUGAAGU
rnacentral:rRNA from 1 species